ensembl:lncRNA
GAUCCUUGCCUACCAGAGGCCUUCUAAGGUACUCCAGCACUUCCUUCUGCCGGCCAGGUUCCACCCCUGUGGCUUCCCUAUGACAUCUGCUUCCACCUGGCCCAAGCUGCCCAUGAGCAGGUGGCCAGAAGAAAAGGACAACAGCACGAGGUGGCUAUGGCACUGCUCACACACAUGCCUAGCCCGAGAGGGAAUGUUAUUGCUCUGGCUGAGGUACUCCUGGAUGGGAAGUGAGGAAUAGAAACAAUGAAGAAAUUUUGUUCCAAACACAAAAGGACAUGUGCCAUAGAAGAACUGAGACCUGAAAGUGUGAAGAGGGACCAAGACGUAGGAAGGAAGAGAUAAGGCUAAAGGUCUGGCACUGAUGUCUGAAAGACAGUAGUGGCUGAAUUACAAGUAUAUGAGCCCACCCAGGAGCAGGCACGCAGUAGAUCUACAGGAUUUGUGCUCUUUUGAAUUCUGGGCAAAAACUCUUAGGAAGCAGAUCAGGCACAACUUAUGCUGAUGUUUGCAUAGGUUAUUCUCUCUACUCGGAGACAUCAAUACACAAAAGAUGUGUCUGGCUGCUACGUAGCAGAGAAGAGGAAGCUUUGUGUGGCAACUGCAUCCCAAAACAAUCCCUUUUCAGGAGGCGUCUUCCUUUGAGCACGCUCAGCAGCAUCAGAGCUACCUUGUGCAAGCAGAAAGGUGUGAGGUACCAGCAAGUUCAUGGGACAAGGGGAUGAUGAGAGCUUAGACUAUUGCGAUGUAAAACUGAUGAAGAGCUACCCCAGGAAACCAAACUGGACCAAAAUAUAAUGGGGGCAACUGCUCACAAGUGCAGACAACAAGAAAAAGGAGAAAUCUGUCAUUGUGAUGGAAUCCCUACAAACUUAGCAUGGUGGUACCUUGACAGCCGGAAGAACACAGGCUGUAAGUGUUCAGAGCUGCAUGCUUUCCAGUUCCCCUGCUGGGUUGCCCAUCCCAAGGUGAAGCCAGCCCUGCAUGUGUUGCAAAACUUUCCUCUCCAAGUGACUUCAUCGUGCCAAGCAGUAAUGGCUCUGGUAUGAUGCUCAGAGCAUUUCCUGAGAAAAAAGGACAUUGUCAUAGCUGGGGUCUUAUACAAUGCGCUCCACAAAAGGAGGGAAGGAAGGUAAAUAUAGAAAAUUGAGGAGAUAUUCUGCAUUGAGAGACACAACAAAAGGAAAACUGCCAGGAAAUGACUCCACAAUGGGGCCAAAUUCAGACUCCUUGGUACUAAACACUCACAUAGACAACCCCCAUCCUCCAGCAGCUGAACAAGGAGCGCCCAGCACCCCUGGAAACUGGGAAAGCUCUAGAUAGAAAUCAGUGAGGCUCUUCCCACUGGGUUUGAGAGCUAAGCUCUUACUGAAUAUCUAAAACAAGCCUUUAGGUUGGUUGCUGUAAGCUUUCAGUUCUAGCAGUGUGAGCCUAGUUAGGUCUACAUAAAGCAUCUUUCUCUGCAGAUAUUAACAGACCUAUUCAUAUUCACUGCACUCAGAGCUAGAGAAGAUGUUGAUACAACCCAAGCCCAUUUAUUCCCUUGCUGUCUGGUCUAGGCCAGUCAUCCUUGCACUCUCCAAAGUCAAGGGAGAGAGAAAGAAGUAUUUCCAAAGGAUAAUUCAUCCCAUCCCAAGAUAAAUGGUGUUAGCAGGCGGAGGAGAGGUUAAACUGCUCUUUGAAGAUGCCUCCACGGGUUAGCAGGAAGCAUGACUUAGACUAAACACCUACCCACUAAAUAAGGAAGGGAUGAAUCCCACCAUUAUGGUCUAAACUGAUAAUACAAUACAGAUGUGUAGAGCAGUAAGUGACCAGAUGGUGAAUUUAUCACACUACAGUGUAGUUUCUUGUAAUAUAAAUACAGGCUGAUUAAAUAGUUGAUUUGCUCAACAGAGCAUCUCAGCUUCAUUACGAGAGCUAGUCUGGAGUCAUUACAAGUCAACACAGGGCCCUGUGUAUGUUUUUAGAAAAUAUGAUGGUCUGGAAAUAAAAGAUGUGCAAGCAGCAAUUUUUGGUCAAUUAAUCUAAGGUUCUCUGUACUGAAAAAGAAUCCUGGCAUCCAUUUUUCCAUGCUAUGUGCAGAAAUGAUAUUUAAUGCCAAAUUACAUUUAAAUGAACAAAACCGCUGCAAGACUACAAUACAUUAGGACUACUAAACUUAGCCUCUCCAUGUAUUCCCUUGUGCCUCAGAAUCAAUGGUAUUAUUUUGAACAAGAAAAACAGAUUUUUCUUCAAGGCUCUCUGGUUUACUGAGCUACCCAAAUGCUUUGACAAAACUGUAUCUGAUACUGUGGGGUACUGAAAAUAAAGAAGAAAGUUAAAAUAAAAAAAAAAUAGGGCUUUCAUAAAUCAUCCUGUCUGCUGGAAGCAGUUCCCUACAGUCUGAAUGUGAGCAGCCCACAUCCAGCAUCUCCCAGGGCAGGACAUGCAUGGGGAUCUGACAUGCAGCUGCAGUCAGAGCAGAUCCUGCCAUCUCCACUACAACAGCACACAACCAUCCUUCAGGCCAGGCUGCCUAUAGCUUGGAGGAGGCACAGUGACCGCAAGACCUGCUAGCCUCUCUGUGAUGCAAGCAGCAAGCUCACAUCCAUGUUGCCACCUUCCCUACACAGCUAUGGGAUGGUGCAUGAAGCCAAAGUCCUGGUGUGGGUGAUUCCAGAAGACCUCAGCAUGGCCGCACAGAGCAGCAAGGAGAUCUUUUGGAUGGGGGGCAGGUUGCCUUCAAAGCACCAAAGAGAAUGUCCUUCAAAAGAAGGAACGUGCUCAGAUGUUCUGCCAGCACAGUGUCAAGCCACUUACGGGAAUGUUUUCAGCAAAUAUCAGCCCAGUUCUUCCCCGGCCUUUGCUGAGGACCUCUUAGCAAGCACAGUUGGGUCCCCCACAAAGCACUUUCCCCAGGUAUAUUUUGGGUUUGGAAAAAUCCUCUAAGAGGUGUUAUGUUCAUAGAAC